rnacentral:rRNA from 1 species
GCCUAUGGCCGUACCUCCCAGAAAACACCUAAUAUUAUCUGAUCUCUGAAGCUAAACAGUAUUAGGCCUAGUUAGUACUAGGAUGGGAGAAAAAAAAAACCUGCAGGCC